UACAGAGGUCUCAAGCGCUGUUCGGAUUCAUUGGGCGUUAAAGGGUGUGUAGGUGGCGCCGUAAGUCGGGUGUGAAAUCUCGGAGCUUAACUCCGAAACUGCAUUCGAUAACUGCGGUGCUUGAGGACUGGAGAGGAGACUGGAAUUCGAUGGUGUAGCAGUGAAAUGCGUAGAGAUCAAUGAGGAAGACCAGUGGCGAAGGCGGGUCGU
rnacentral:rRNA from 1 species